UACGUAGGGUGCGAGCGUUGUCCGGAAUUAUUGGGCGUAAAGGGCUCGUAGGCGGUUUGUCGCGUCGGGAGUGAAAUCCACUGGCUUAACUGGUGGCUUGCUUUCGAUACGGGCAGACUGGAGGUAUGUAGGGGAGAACGGAAUUCCUGGUGUAGCGGUGAAAUGCGCAGAUAUCAGGAAGAACACCAAUGGCGAAAGCAGCUUUCUGGGACGGUACUGACGCUGAGACGCGAAAGCGUGGGGAGCGAACAGG
rnacentral:rRNA from 1 species